CACAGAAUCAAUAAGAGAUAUAUGCUUUGGAUUAGAGCCAAAGGUGAAACUUGAUGAUAAACCCUUGGAUGUUUCACGUCUGGGCAAACCUACUCCCAAAGUCCAAGGAAGCUGAAAGACCAAAGAAAGAGGUUGACAAAUCCAGUCUCUCAGGAACAUUUAAUAGGGACUUACAAACAGAAACCAUGACUGUGUCUCAGGAAGCGGCAAGUCCCAGAAACUUUUCUUCUCCAAGACCAACUUUCUUCAAGACCAUUUAACCCUGUCUUGAGAAAAAGGCUUUGCGUUUCCAGCAGUUUCACUCCAUCAGUGUUUUGGACAUUGAAGUUAGCAAAUGGGAAAUUGAGACAGCAAAUUUAGGAAAGAAAAUGGCCAGCAAAGGAUAACCAGACACUUGAAAUGUCCUCUAAUCGACAGAGAGAAAAUGAAACUAGUAUAAAUAAGGG